GAUGAACGCUGGCGGCGUGCCUAAUACAUGCAAGUCGAGCGAACAGACGAGGAGCUUGCUCCUCUGACGUUAGCGGCGGACGGGUGAGUAACACGUGGAUAACCUACCUAUAAGACUGGGAUAACUUCGGGAAACCGGAGCUAAUACCGGAUAAUAUCUUGAACCGCAUGGUUCAAUAGUGAAAGACGGUUUUGCUGUCCCUUAUAGAUGGAUCCGCGCCGCAUUAGCUAGUUGGUAAGGUAACGGCUUACCAAGGCAACGAUGCGUAGCCGACCUGAGAGGGUGAUCGGCCACACUGGAACUGAGACACGGUCCAGACUCCUACGGGAGGCAGCAGUAGGGAAUCUUCCGCAAUGGGCGAAAGCCUGACGGAGCAACGCCGCGUGAGUGAUGAAGGUCUUCGGAUCUUAAAACUCUGUUAUUAGGGAAGAACAAAUGUGUAAGUAACUAUGCACGUCUUGACGGUACCUAAUCAGAAAGCCACGGCUAACUACGUG
rnacentral:rRNA from 1 species